AACGAACGCUGGCGGCGUGGAUUAGGCAUGCAAGUCGAGCGAGAAUCCCGAUAUAGCAAUAUAAAGGGAGGACAGCGGCGAACGGGUGAGUAAUACAAGGGCAAUCUGCCCUCAAGUUGGGAAUAGCCUGCCGAAAGGCGGAUUAAUACCGAAUGUGGUCGUCCCGCGCAUGCGGGACUGUCUAAAGGCGGGGACCGAAAGGCCUGUCGCUUGAGGAUGAGCCCUUGACCUAUCAGCUAGUUGGUGAGGUAACGGCCCACCAAGGCUUACGGGUAGCUGGUCUGAGAGGAUGGUCAGCCACACUGGGACUGAGACACUGCCCAGACUCCUACGGGAGGCUGCAGUCGAGGAUCUUGGACAAUGCGCGAAAGCGUGAUCCAGCGACGUCGCGUGCAGGAUGACGGCCUUCGGGUUGUAAACUGCUGUCUUCAGGGAACAAUGAGCGGGGCGCGAACAGCGCUUCGCCUUGAUGGUACCUGAGAAGGAAGCCACGGCUAACUCUGUGCCAGCAGCCGCGGUAAUACAGAGGUGGCGAGCGUUGUUCGGAUUUACUGGGCGUAAAGGGUGCGUAGGCGGUUUCGUGUGUCGGAUGUGAAAUCUGGAAGCUCAACUUCCAAACUGCAUCCGAAACUACGAGACUGGAGUACGGGAGAGGAAAGCGGAAUUCUCGGUGUAGCGGUGAAAUGCGUAGAUAUCGAGAGGAACACCGGUGGCGAAGGCGGCUUUCUGGACCGAUACUGACGCUGAGGCACGAAGGCCGGGGGAGCAAACAGGAUUAGAUACCCUGGUAGUCCCGGCAGUAAACGUUGUGCACUUGGUGUGAGGGGAGUUAUCCCCCCUCGUGCCGGAGCUAACGCGUUAAGUGCACCGCCUGGGGAGUACGGCCGCAAGGCUAAAACUCAAAGGAAUUGACGGGGGCCCGCACAAGCGGUGGAGCAUGUUGCUUAAUUCGAUGCAACGCGAAGAACCUUACCUGGGCUUGACAUGCAGUGUUCAAUUCCUGAAAGGGAAUGGCCGCAAGGCGAACUGCACAGGUGCUGCAUGGCUGUCGUCAGCUCGUGCCGUGAGGUGUUGGGUUAAGUCCCGCAACGAGCGCAACCCUUGUGAUUAGUUGCCACCGGGUAAUGCCGGGCACUCUAAUCAGACUGCCUGUGAUAAGCAGGAGGAAGGUGGGGAUGACGUCAAGUCAGUAUGGCCUUUAUGCCCAGGGCUGCAAACGUGCUACAAUGAACGGUACAGAAGGAAGCGAGACCGCGAGGUGGAGCCAAUCCCUAAAACCGUUCCCAGUUCAGAUUGCAGUCUGCAACUCGACUGCAUGAAGCCGGAAUCGCUAGUAAAGGCGCAUCAGCUACGGCGCCUUGAAUACGUUCCCGGGCCUUGUACACACCGCCCGUCACAUCAUGAAAGCCGAUUGCACCCGAAGUAGUCGACCGUACCCGCAAGGGGCGUAGGCUCCUAAGGUGUGAUUGGUAAUUGGGAUG
rnacentral:rRNA from 1 species